rnacentral:rRNA from 1 species
GAUGAACGCUGGCGGCGUGCCUAAUACAUGCAAGUCGAGCGAACAGACGAGGAGCUUGCUCCUCUGACGUUAGCGGCAGACGGGUGAGUAACACGUGGAUAACCUACCUAUAAGACUGGGAUAACUUCGGGAAACCGGAGCUAAUACCGGAUAAUAUAUUGAACCGCAUGGUUCAAUAGUGAAAGACGGUUUUGCUGUCACUUAUAGAUGGAUCCGCGCCGCAUUAGCUAGUUGGUAAGGUAACGGCUUACCAAGGCGACGAUGCGUAGCCGACCUGAGAGGGUGAUCGGCCACACUGGAGCUGAGACACGGUCCAGACUCCUACGGGAGGCAGCAGUAGGGAAUCUUCCGCAAUGGGCGAAAGCCUGACGGAGCAACGCCGCGUGAGUGAUGAAGGUCUUCGGAUCGUAAAACUCUGUUAUUAGGGAAGAACAAAUGUGUAAGUAACUAUGCACGUCUUGACGGUACCUAAUCAGAAAGCCACGGCUAACUACGUG